rnacentral:piRNA from 1 species
UCCCUAUAAAUAUUGAAGACUUUAUAGACGU